rnacentral:tRNA from 1 species
GGGCCCGUAGCUCAGCCAGGCAGAGCGGCGGGCUUUUAACCUAUGGAAGAAACCCGUUGGUCCCGGGUUCAAAUCCCGGCGGGCCCG